rnacentral:rRNA from 1 species
UACGAACUGUGCAAACGUUAUUCGGAUUCACUGGGCUUACAGGGUGCGUAGGCGGCCUGUCAAGUAGGGUGUGAAAGCCCCCGGCUCAACCGGGGAAUUGCGCCCUAAACUGUCGGGCUGGAGUGAGAUAGGGGUGUGUGGAACUUCCGGUGGAGCGGUGAAAUGUGUUGAUAUCGGAAGGAACGACGGUGGCGAAAGCGACACACUGGAUCUUGUCUGACGCUGAGGCACGAAAGCCAGGGGAGCGAACGGG